rnacentral:rRNA from 1 species
UAACCUUUUGGUUAUAAAUAAUUGUUAGUGGCAGACGGGUGAGUAAUGCGUAGGAAUCUACCUAGUAGUAUGGAAUAGCCAUUAGAAAUGAUGGGUAAUACUGUAUAAUCCCUGCGGGGGAAAGAUUUAUCGCUAUUAGAUGAGCCUACGUUAGAUUAGCUAGUUGGUAAGGUAAUGGCUUACCAAGGCUAUGAUCUAUAGCUGGUCUGAGAGGACGAUCAGCCACACUGGAACUGAGAUACGGUCCAGACUCCUACGGGAGGCAGCAGUGGGGAAUAUUGGACAAUGGGCGAAAGCCUGAUCCAGCUAUGCCGCGUGAGUGAAGAAGGCCUUCGGGUUGUAAAACUCUUUCAAUAGGGAAGAUAAUGACGGUACCUAUAGAAGAAGCCG